GAGUAGGAUUUAGGAUUUAAGGUUUAGGAUUUGGGAUUAGGAUUUAGAAUUUAAGGUUUAGAAAUUGGGAGUAGGAUUUAAGGUUUAGGAUUUGAAAGUAGGAUUUAAGAUUUAGGAUUUAGAAGUAGAGUUUAGGAUUUAGAGUUUGAAAAUAGGAUUUAAGUUUUAAAAAUAGAAUAGGAUUUAGGAUUUUGGAAAAAUGAGGCAACCAUCUUAAAAGGAAGAUAUAAAGACUCUUCAAGAGAGUUUUGGCUCUCUUGUAUUUUUGUUUUUGCAAAUAUUUAAGAAAAAUAAUUUUUUGAUAUGAAAGCAAGUAAAUUUAUAAAAGAUUCUUAUAAUAU
rnacentral:lncRNA from 1 species